CCUACGGGUGGCUGCAGUGGGGAAUAUUGCACAAUGGGCGCAAGCCUGAUGCAGCCAUGCCGCGUGUGUGAAGAAGGCCUUCGGGUUGUAAAGCACUUUCAGCGGGGAGGAAGGCGUUAAGGUUAAUAACCUUGUCGAUUGACGUUACCCGCAGGAGAAGCACCGGCUAACUCCGUGCCAGCAGCCGCGGUAAUACGGAGGGUGCAAGCGUUAAUCGGAAUUACUGGGCGUAAAGCGCACGCAGGCGGUCUGUCAAGUCGGAUGUGAAAUCCCCGGGCUCAACCUGGGAACUGCAUUCGAAACUGGCAGGCUAGAGUCUUGUAGAGGGGGGUAGAAUUCCAGGUGUAGCGGUGAAAUGCGUAGAGAUCUGGAGGAAUACCGGUGGCGAAGGCGGCCCCCUGGACAAAGACUGACGCGCAGGUGCGAAAGCGUGGGGAGCAAACAGGAUUAGAUACCCGUGUAGUC
rnacentral:rRNA from 1 species